CUUCCGUAGGUGAACCUGCGGAAGGAUCAUUACCGAGUGCGGGCCCCUCGGGGCCCAACCUCCCACCCGUGUUGCCCGAACCUAUGUUGCCUCGGCGGGCCCCGCGCCCGCCGACGGCCCCCCUGAACGCUGUCUGAAGUUGCAGUCUGAGACCUAUAACGAAAUUAGUUAAAACUUUCAACAACGGAUCUCUUGGUUCCGGCAUCGAUGAAGAACGCAGCGAAAUGCGAUAACUAAUGUGAAUUGCAGAAUUCAGUGAAUCAUCGAGUCUUUGAACGCACAUUGCGCCCUCUGGUAUUCCGGAGGGCAUGCCUGUCCGAGCGUCAUUGCUGCCCUCAAGCCCGGCUUGUGUGUUGGGCCCCGUCCCCCCCGCCGGGGGGACGGGCCCGAAAGGCAGCGGCGGCACCGCGUCCGGUCCUCGAGCGUAUGGGGCUUCGUCACCCGCUCUAGUAGGCCCGGCCGGCGCCAGCCGACCCCCAACCUUUAAUUAUCUCAGGUGACCU
rnacentral:misc_RNA from 1 species